UACAGAGGGUGCGAGCGUUAAUCGGAAUUACUGGGCGUAAAGCGUGCGUAGACGGUUUCGUAAGUCGGAUGUGAAAGCCCCGGGCUCAACCUGGGAAUUGCAUUCGAGACUGUGUAGCUAGGAUGCGGAAGAGGGAAGCGGAAUUUCCGGUGUAGCGGUGAAAUGCGUAGAUAUCGGAAGGAACACCAGUGGCGAAAGCGGCUUCCUGGUCCAGCAUCGACGUUCAGGCACGAAAGCGUGGGGAGCAAACAGG
rnacentral:rRNA from 1 species